rnacentral:rRNA from 1 species
AUUGAACGCUGGCGGCAGGCCUAACACAUGCAAGUCGAGCGAGCGGCGGACGGGUGAGUAAUGUAUGGGGACUGCCCGAUAGAGGGGGAUAACUACUGGACACGGUGGCUAAUACCGCAUACUAUCGGAUAACCCAUAUGGGAUUAGCUCGUAGGUGGGGUAAAGGCUCACCUAGGCGACGCUCUCUAGCUGGUCUGAGAGGAUGAUGAGGCACACUGGGACUGAGACACGGCCCAGACGCAGACGGAGGCAGCAGUGGGGAAUAGUGCACAAUGGGCGCAAGCCUGAUGUAGCCCUGCCGCGUGGAUGAAGAAGGCCUUAGGGUUGUAAAGUACUUUCAGCGGGGAGGCGGUACCCGCAGAAGAAGCACCGGCUAACUCCGUGCCAGCAGCCGCGGUAAUUC